CAGUUAUUCCACUGAGGUGGAAGUAGCUGUCACCUGCCUGGUCAAUUUGCAUCUGUGGGCUUCCUUACACCUACCUCUCUCUGGGCUUCUAUCUUGAAGAUGCAAAACCAGGGCGGCAGCCACACUGCAUUCCAGGAAGGGCAGAAGCUGUCUUAAGAUGAGUGGGGUAAAUUGCUGGACCCCAUGAAAAUCACCAUGGUUCUAGAGAAGAACUGAACCAGGCCCUUUUUGAUUUUCAUGCCCUGGGUUCUGCCCGCACAGACUGUGAGGGCAGAGGAAGUGAGGAAGUAAGAUUCAUCAAGGAGAUAGGUGGACCUGACUAACCUCUGCAGACUCUCUGGCCCCGAGGCCAGACUGGGCAAGUAUGUCUUCAAAAGUCUCACUCUCAAAGCAC
rnacentral:lncRNA from 1 species